rnacentral:sRNA from 1 species
GCUGGGCGUGGUGGUGCACACCUAUAAUCCCAGUGACUUUGGAAGCUGAGGCAGGAGGAUCAGAAGUUCAAAGCCAGCCUCAG